GACAAGCUUAGGGUAAGAGUAAUACCACUACAUUUUGAGGCCAGCAAAGCUACAAACUUCUCUGUGCUGAACCAAAUGGGGAGUAGCAGCUGUGUUGGGUAGUUUUGUCAACUCAAUACAAGCUAAAGUGAUCUGAGAAGAGGAAAUUUUGAUUGAGAAAACACCUCCAUCAGAUUGGCCUUUCCUGCCUAGAGUUCCUGACCUGCCUUCCCUGAAUGAUGGACAUUGUGACAUGGAAGUUUAAUCUAGAGAAACCCUUACCUCUCCAAGCUGGUUUUGGUCAGUGUUUUAUCAUGGAAACAGGAAAGCAACUAGAAUACCCAGUGACUAUUUGACAUCUUUCAACACUUUAUCGCCACAACAAGAAUGGCGUCUACGGAACCUUGGCAGAAUUCACAACAAUGACUAGAAAAAACACUUGAGCUCCAGCCAUAUGCAACACAAUUGAUAAGCUUUUCAAAUAAGACACAAGACAUUUGACACAAUUUCAUCUACAUAUAGUUCAAAAAUAUUUAAAAACUAUUGUUUAGUGGAAUAAGUAUGGCAAUGCAGAAAACCGAAAAUGUA